rnacentral:rRNA from 1 species
UACGAAGGGGGCUAGCGUUGCUCGGAAUCACUGGGCGUAAAGGGUGCGUAGGCGGGUCUUUAAGUCGGGGGUGAAAUCCUGGAGCUCAACUCCAGAACUGCCUUCGAUACUGGCGAUCUAGAGUCCGGGAGAGGUGAGUGGAACUGCGAGUGUAGAGGUGAAAUUCGUAGAUAUUCGCAAGAACACCAGUGGCGAAGGCGGCUCACUGGCCCGGUACUGACGCUGAGGUGCGAAAGCGUGGGGAGCAAACAGG